GAUGAACGCUGGCGGCGUGCCUAAUACAUGCAAGUCGAGCGAACGGACGAGAAGCUUGCUUCUCUGAUGUUAGCGGCGGACGGGUGAGUAACACGUGGAUAACCUACCUAUAAGACUGGGAUAACUUCGGGAAACCGGAGCUAAUACCGGAUAAUAUUUUGAACCGCAUGGUUCAAAAGUGAAAGACGGUCUUGCUGUCACUUAUAGAUGGAUCCGCGCUGCAUUAGCUAGUUGGUAAGGUAACGGCUUACCAAGGCAACGAUGCAUAGCCGACCUGAGAGGGUGAUCGGCCACACUGGAACUGAGACACGGUCCAGACUCCUACGGGAGGCAGCAGUAGGGAAUCUUCCGCAAUGGGCGAAAACCUGACGGAGCAACGCCGCGUGAGUGAUGAAGGUCUUCGGAUCGUAAAACUCUGUUAUUAGGGAAGAACAUAUGUGUAAGUAACUGUGCACAUCUUGACGGUACCUAAUCAGAAAGCCACGGCUAACUACGUGCCAGCAGCCGCGGUAAUACGUAGGUGGCAAGCGUUAUCCGGAAUUACUGGGCGUAAAGCGCGCGUAGGCGGUUUUUUAAGUCUGAUGUGAAAGCCCACGGCUCAACCGUGGAGGGUCAUUGGAAACUGGAAAACUUGAGUGCAGAAGAGGAAAGUGGAAUUCCAUGUGUAGCGGUGAAAUGCGCAGAGAUAUGGAGGAACACCAGUGGCGAAGGCGACUUUCUGGUCUGUAACUGACGCUGAUGUGCGAAAGCGUGGGGAUCAAACAGGAUUAGAUACCCUGGUAGUCCACGCCGUAAACGAUGAGUGCUAAGUGUUAGGGGGUUUCCGCCCCUUAGUGCUGCAGCUAACGCAUUAAGCACUCCGCCUGGGGAGUACGACCGCAAGGUUGAAACUCAAAGGAAUUGACGGGGACCCGCACAAGCGGUGGAGCAUGUGGUUUAAUUCGAAGCAACGCGAAGAACCUUACCAAAUCUUGACAUCCUUUGACAACUCUAGAGAUAGAGCUUUCCCCUUCGGGGGACAAAGUGACAGGUGGUGCAUGGUUGUCGUCAGCUCGUGUCGUGAGAUGUUGGGUUAAGUCCCGCAACGAGCGCAACCCUUAAGCUUAGUUGCCAUCAUUAAGUUGGGCACUCUAAGUUGACUGCCGGUGACAAACCGGAGGAAGGUGGGGAUGACGUCGAAUCAUCAUGCCCCUUAUGAUUUGGGCUACACACGUGCUACAAUGGACAAUACAAAGGGCAGCGAAACCGCGAGGUCAAGCAAAUCCCAUAAAGUUGUUCUCAGUUCGGAUUGUAGUCUGCAACUCGACUACAUGAGGCUGGAAUCGCUAGUAAUCGUAGAUCAGCAUGCUACGGUGAAUACGUUCCCGGGUCU
rnacentral:rRNA from 1 species